AGACUGCCUUAUCUAUUUGUCAUCCUUCCCUACCCACCUCAGCCACCUCUGUCCUCCAUCCCCACCCACACACGCCUUGUUGGUGCCGCCUCUCCCCAUCCACCAUGUUGCCUCCCGUGAAACCCCCACCCACACCUGGUGUCUUGGUUGGCCUGCUCGGGCGCUGCCAAGCGUGCCAAACACAGGAGCUUGAGCUCAACCUGGUUGUUGAUCAUGGAAAGCAUGCUGUUGAAGUUGUUUGCUGCGGAGUGCUGUAAUAAUCCAAUCUAUCCAAUCGCUGUGAUUUGCUAAUAAUUUGUUAGUUUUUGUUGGUGUGUUUGCUACGUGUGGGAAUUUGAGCAUAUUGACAGAUGGACUUCAAGCCAAAUCAUGGGGAAUCCGAGACUGAAGAAGAGAAGGAAGUGGAGAGGGAUGACGAGGUGCAAGAUCUGGUGCUGCCACGCUCGGGGAUGGCUGAAUCCGACUGCUUGGUCUCUUGCGGGUGAGCUCUAGGUCGCAGCACAAGUAGCCCAGUUCGUAGGGUGGGCAACCCGACGCCGCCGCCGAGCACAUGGGUGCUCUUCCUCUCUGUUGAUCGAAAUGGAGUACGACGACAAGUACAGGAAGGAUUAGAGACUCAAGUGUGACUGCCUCAUCUUUGACCUUGAUGAAGAGGAUUGCUAUUACAAGAACUAUACUGAAGAGGUCGGUCUACAUUAUCCCCUCCCCAGCCUGGUCACGCCCCUCCACGGUGGCCCAGGCGUAGCUCUAUCUGACGCUGAUGGGAGAAAGCAAGUGGUGUCGAAGGAAGAGGUGGAAGAUCAUCUAGAGAGAGAUGAGGAGUGGAGACAGAAACAUAGAGAAGAUUUGGAUAAUUUUCGGAGUUUAUGCAGGCCAAGUUGAAACCCUUGGUUUCGUCGGAUCCACAGAAGCAACUUCUCCGGUCUCAAGGAUUGAAG